rnacentral:sRNA from 1 species
UUUUAAACCCGACAGCAGCAAAAAUCCUUUUUGUUUGCAGCAACCUUCAGUAUGACGAGGGAUUAGCAAAAAGAUUGUAGCAAAUGGCGGGAGCAAAC